UACCCUUGGAAGAGGACAUUUUCAUGCCUUCAUGGUAGGACCAGAAUUUCCAUGCCUGAGUGACCAGGCCAGCUGGUUUGCUAGAGGCUGCUCACUUUCCUCACCAGUAUUUGCUCACUCCUUGGGCGCUUCAACUCUCCCAAACUUGGGGCACUUUGGAGUGGUUUUGAUUCUACCAUGGACAUGGCUGAAGCCCCAUAGGAGGAGGAAGUAGGACAGAACACAAACAUCCCGAGUCAGUACACAAAAAUGAACGGUGGGUUGUUCAUCUUUUCAUUCAGUCUUGCAUCAUGCUGAAUGUUAGGAGAAGAAUCAAGAUGGGCAGGACUGGGUCCUCUGGUGCCCUCCAGGAGCUCAUACUCAAGUGAGAUAUACAAGCUUAUAAACUAGCAAUUGCAAAACAAGGAGCUGAGUGAUGCACCCUAGUCAUCCCGAGCCUCUAGAAGCCCAGCUGUUUGUCUAUCCUUAUUUCUUAUUUAUGCUACAGGAAAAGUUCUUCUGGAAGCAGCAUGGGAUGGUGAACUGGAGGCAUGCCAGGGACUCUGUGGCCACAGACCAGAUCUGCAAAUAGACCUGCAGACUCUGAAAUCAAUUGCUUUCAGCAUAACCAGUCCCCAAGAAGCUGAUGUCCAUUCUUUCUUCCCCUUCUUGCCCUGCAACCUUCCACAGAGAAAGUGUCUCCAAAUACAGAGGUGUCCCGGGAAGGGAGCAGGAAGCAGAGAGCCAGGUGGUCAGACCAGCUGGGUUGGCCACGUCCUGGAGGUCAAGACCUUGAACUUCUUGGCACCUGCAGAGUGCUCAGAAAUACUUGUUGA
rnacentral:lncRNA from 1 species